rnacentral:rRNA from 1 species
AAUGAACGUUGGCGGCGUGGAUUAGGCAUGCAAGUCGAGCGUGUACCCCGCAAGGGGGGAAAGCGGCGUAAGGGAGAGUAAUACGUAGAUACGUGCCUCCGGGUUUGGGAUAGCCACGGGAAACUGUGGGUAAUACCGGAUAAUGUCUGAGGACCAAAGGUGUGAUUCCACCUGGAGAUCGGUUUGCGUCCUAUCAUGCUUGUUGGUGAGGUAACGGCUCACCAAGGCUACGACGGGUACGGGGAGUGAGAGCUUGCCCCCGCUCACUGGGACUGAGACACUGCCCAGACACCUACGGGUGGCUGCAGUCGAGGAUCUUCGGCAAUGGGCGCAAGCCUGACCGAGCGACGCCGCGUGCGGGAUGAAGGCCUUCGGGUUGUAAACCGCUGUCAGUGGGGAGGAAGGCUCCGUGAAGAACGGGGUUUGACCUAUCCGCAGAGGAAGUGUGGGCUAAGUUCGUGCCAGCAGCCGCGGUAA